GAUGAACGCUAGCUACAGGCUUAACACAUGCAAGUCGAGGGGAAACGACAUCGAAAGCUUGCUUUUGAUGGGCGUCGACCGGCGCACGGGUGAGUAACGCGUAUCCAACCUGCCCACCACUUGGGGAUAACCUUGCGAAAGUAAGACUAAUACCCAAUGACGUCUCUAGAAGACAUCUGAAAGAGAUUAAAGAUUUAUCGGUGAUGGAUGGGGAUGCGUCUGAUUAGCUUGUUGGCGGGGUAACGGCCCACCAAGGCGACGAUCAGUAGGGGUUCUGAGAGGAAGGUCCCCCACAUUGGAACUGAGACACGGUCCAAACUCCUACGGGAGGCAGCAGUGAGGAAUAUUGGUCAAUGGGCGAGAGCCUGAACCAGCCAAGUAGCGUGCAGGAUAACGGCCCUAUGGGUUGUAAACUGCUUUUAUAAGGGAAUAAAGUGAGUCUCGUGAGACUUUUUGCAUGUACCCUAUGAAUAAGGACCGGCUAAUUCCGUGCCAGCCGCCGCCGUAA
rnacentral:rRNA from 1 species